UACGAAGGGGGCUAGCGUUGUUCGGAAUCACUGGGCGUAAAGCGCACGUAGGCGGAUCUUUAAGUCAGAGGUGAAAUCCCAAGGCUCAACCUUGGAACUGCCUUUGAUACUGGGGAUCUUGAGUCCGGGAGAGGUGAGUGGAGCUGCGAGUGUAGAGGUGAAAUUCGUAGAUAUUCGCAAGAACACCAGUGGCGAAGGCGGCUCACUGGCCCGGUACUGACGCUGAGGUGCGAAAGCGUGGGGAGCAAACAGG
rnacentral:rRNA from 1 species